rnacentral:rRNA from 1 species
GGAAUCUUGGACAAUGGGGGCAACCCUGAUCCAGCCAUGCCGCGUGGACGAUGAAGGCCCUAGGGUUGUAAAGUCCUUCCACCCGUGAAGAUAAUGACGGUAGCGGGAGACGAAGCCCCCGCCAACUCCGUGCCAGCAGCCGCGGUAAUACGGAGGGGGCUAGCGUUGUUCGGAAUUACUGGGCGUAAAGCGCGCGUAGGCGGAUGGUCAAGUCGGGGUUGAAAUCCCGGGGCUCAACCCCGGAACUGCCUCCGAUACUGGACGUCUGGAGGACGGGAGAGGCGAGUGGAAUGCCGAGUGUAGAGGUGAAAUUCGUAGAUAUUCGGCGGAACACCCGUGGCGAAGGCGGCUCGCUGGUCCGUUUCUGACGCUGAGGCGCGAAAGCGUGGGGAGCAAAC